rnacentral:rRNA from 1 species
GACGAACGCUGGCGGCAUGCCUAACACAUGCAAGUCGAACGAUACCUUCGGGUCUAGUGGCGCACGGGUGCGUAACGCGUGGGAACCUGCCCUUAGGUUCGGAAUAACUCCCCGAAAGGGGUGCUAAUACCGGAUAAUGUCUUCUGACCAAAGAUUUAUCGCCUUUGGAUGGGGCCGCGUUUGAUUAGCUAGUUGGUAGGGUAAAAGCCUACCAAGGCGACGAUCCAUAGCUGGUCUGAGAGGAGGAUCAGCCACGCUGGGACUGAGACACGGCCGAGACUCAUACGGGAGGAAGCAGUGGGGAAUAUUGGACAAUGGGCGAAAGACUGAUCGAGCAAUGCCGCGUGAGUGAUGAAGGCGUUAGGGAUGUAAAGCUCUUUUACCCGGGAGGAUAAUGACAGUACCGGGAGAAUAAGCGCCGGCUAACUCCGUG